GGGUCAGUAGGUUGGUCGUGCCACCGGUACGUACUGGUCUCACUGAUUCCUCCUUCCUGAAGAACCGUAAUGCCAUUAAUUUGGUGUUGCGGGGAGACAGGACUGUUACUUUGAAAAAAUUAGAGUGUUUAAAGCAAGCUAACGCUUGAAUACAUUAGCAUGGAAUAAUGUAAUAGGACGAUCGAUCCUAUUUUGUUGGUUUCUAGGAUUGACGUA
rnacentral:rRNA from 1 species